rnacentral:lncRNA from 1 species
GCUGGUUUUGAUAUAUCUGCAUCUGCUUGAUUAUCAAGAAAGUAAUUCAGCUUGCAGCUCAUGAUCACUUCAUUGGUUCUGCACAUUUUUAGAAUUCUCAGAUGUUAAAUUUAACAUCAAUUAUGUCAAAACUGUAUAACGCAGUAACAUGAAAUAUACACAUAAAAGAGAGUGAAUUUAUUUUGACAGCACAAGGAAAGAGCAUCUUAUUCUUCCAAUUUGACAAUUCAGUUGGACAAAUAAGACAAAAUGAUUCAACAACAGAAUUAAUUGAUCUUUCUUGAAAAUGAUAAAGAAUAUCAUAUUUCAAAUGUAAAGAAAACAGAAACCAUUUAUCACAAAGUGUUGAAUACUACUGUCAUUUAUGAAAAUUAAUUCCUAUUUGCAACUGUAUAUGACAUUGUGAUAUCAUCAUCUGGGAAGUCGGGAAUAAAUAUGAACAGAAAAGAAUUUUAAUUACCUCUCAAGUCAAAAUGGAAAAAUAAAAUAAAAAUCCAAAGUAGGAAGCUGAGAUGCAGGAAAAAUCAGAAGAACAUAAAUAUUUACAGAGAAUUAGCCACAUAUAAUAGGGUGGUACUGUGAUGGUAUAAG